UCAGUGUGUGUCCUGUGUGUGUUCUCCUCUCCUCAGUCAUCUCCUCCACCUGUGUGUACUGCAUCUGCAUCAACAAAACUAAAGCAGAAGCAGAAUCCGGUCAGGAAUGGAGGAACAAAAUACAGAGUCAGAAAAGCAGAACAAAUGAUGAGGUAGAAGGAGAUGAAGUAUGUUAUGCAUCACUGGAUGUCCUGAACAGUGGACAGAAACAUCUGAAGAAGAAGAAGAGAGUAGAGAGCUUUGAUUUCAGUACAUAUUCUGAGGUUAAAACGGAUCAAAUAUAAUAUACAGUCACACAAAAAGC